GAACCCUUGGUGUAGUGGCUAUCACAUCUGAUUCCAGUGUUUGGAACGUCCAGAAGGUCACCUGUUCAACUCGGGUAGGGUUCA